ACAUCUCUGUGCUGAGCACUGCUGUGUACGGUCCAUGUGCUGUCCUGCUAUCUGAAACAUAGAGCGCAGGGCAGUCUAUGGUCUGCAGUACGCAGAAGCGCUCAGCACGGACACGGGUGAUGGCGGGACAUGCGGGUCUGUACAGCGGCUCUCUACAGCGGCGCGGACACAGACAUGUGGAGGGGCGGAGGAUGACGGCUUAUGUUGUGCUGCGGCGCCCCUGACGCUGGCCCUUACCUGGAGCAAUCCCGGCGGCAGUGGGAGCGGGACCCGUCAAUGAAAUAGAGGUUUGUGAAUCAGAUGAUUCUGAGGAAAGCUGUGGCAGGGUGUUGGUUUGCAGGUCACUGUAAAAAGAACUGAUAACAGUAUUAAAGAAAAUAGAAGAAGACAAUGACAGAAGAAGACUACGAGAGACAGAAAGACAGAAGAAGAAGCAAGAAAAAGAAAGAAAAAAGAAAAGCAAGGAAAAAAAGAAGCAGCAAGAAUAAAGAAGGAGAAAGAAAAGAGAAGGAAAAAAGAUCUAUUUGAAAUAUUGCUGAAUGUUUUAUGCCUAGGUAUGGGGAAGCAGAGCCCAUAUGUUGUCUUAUAAAUA